rnacentral:rRNA from 1 species
GUGAACGCUAGCGGUGCGCCUAACACAUGCAAGUCGAGUGGGUUCAGACCCACGGCGAACGGCUGAGUAACACGUUGGUACCUGCCCCGAACUCAGGGAUAACCCGCCGAAAGGCGGGCUAAUACCGGAUGGUCCCGCAAGGGUAAAGCUUUUGCGGUUCGGGAGGGGCCUGCGGCCUAUCAGAUAGUUGGUGAGGUAAUGGCUUACCAAGUCUAUGACGGGUAGCUGGUCUGAGAGGACGACCAGCCAGAAUGGAACUGAGACACGGUCCAUACUCCUACGGGAGGCAGCAGUGAGGAAUCUUCCGCAAUGGGCGAAAGCCUGACGGAGCGACACCGCGUGAAGGAUGACACCCUUUUGGGCGUAAACUUCUGUUCUGAGGGACGAAAUUUUUGACGGUACCUCAGGAGAAAGCACCGGCUAAUUCUGU